CCUACGGGGUGCAGCAGUGGGGAAUAUUGGACAAUGGGCGAAAGCCUGAUCCAGCCAUGCCGCGUGUGUGAAGAAGGCCUUCGGGUUGUAAAGCACUUUCAGUGGGGAAGAAAGCCUUGGGGCUAAUACCCUCGAGGAAGGACAUCACCCACAGAAGAAGCACCGGCUAACUCCGUGCCAGCAGCCGCGGUAAUACGGAGGGUGCGAGCGUUAAUCGGAAUUACUGGGCGUAAAGCGCGCGUAGGCGGUCUGAUAAGCCGGUUGUGAAAGCCCCGGGCUCAACCUGGGAACGGCAUCCGGAACUGUCAGGCUAGAGUGCAGGAGAGGAAGGUAGAAUUCCCGGUGUAGCGGUGAAAUGCGUAGAGAUCGGGAGGAAUACCAGUGGCGAAGGCGGCCUUCUGGACUGACAUUGACGCUGAGGUGCGAAAGCGUGGGUAGCAAACAGGAUUAGAUACCCUAGUAGUC
rnacentral:rRNA from 1 species